AAGAAUGUGUCACAAGGGCAGAUGAACAGACAGGAAGUGACGCAGAAAUAGUCAACGAAAACUACCGUUAAACAACAUUUUUCCGGAAAAAAGAGUAUCGUAAGCGGCAAAAAGUAAAUUAUAAAAUGACCCCUUUUUAUUUAAUUUUACUGUUUUUUAUUUAUUCCUCUUUAAAAUUAUCUGUUUGAUAUUUUUGUAACAUUUUUGAAAUGGUUAAUAAAAGAGAACUAUGAAAAUCAACUUUCACUUUCACUUAUCUGACGUCAUACAUCGUGAUUUCUCAAUGAUGAAAGAUGAGCAUAGGCCUUGGACAUUUAUCAUCUAUGUACAUUGACCACUGCAUUAAUUUAUGCAAUUUUUGGAGAGGAAUUCAUCAACAAUAACAGUAUAUCACCAGGGUUUAGUCAAUAUCCAGGACUUAUCUCCUAGUGGACAAGACUAUAAAGUUCAAACCAAACAGCAAACCUUGAGUGAAAUGAUAAUAAUGAUGAUCUGGGUGUGAUUGUAACAUAAUAUUAUGCAUAAAGAUGUUCAUUCGUGUUACAAAAAGAUGAACAAGUAGCUACAUUUUAUCUAUAUAUAUUUUUUAU